rnacentral:rRNA from 1 species
AUUGAACGCUGGCGGAAUGCUUUACACAUGCAAGUCGAACGGUAGAGGGGGCAACCCCUCGAGAGUGGCGAACGGGUGAGUAAUAUAUCGGAACGUGCCCAGUCGUGGGGGAUAACGUAGCGAAAGUUACGCUAAUACCGCAUAAGAUCUAAGGACGAAAGCGGGGGCUCGGAAGACCUCGCGCGAGUGGAGCGGCCGAUAUCAGAUUAGGUAGUUGGCGGGGGAAAGGAUCACCAAGCCAACGAUCUGUAGCUGGUCUGAGAGGACGACCAGCCACCCUGGAACUGAGACACGGUCCCGACUCCUACGGGAGGCAGCAGUGGGGAAUUUUGGACAAUGGACGCAAGUCUGAUCCAGCCAUUCCGCGUGCAGGAUGAAGGCCCUCGGGUUGUAAACUGCUUUUGUACGGAACGAAAAGGUCUCUCUUAAUACGGGGGGCUCAUGACGGUACCGUAAGAAUAAGCACCGGCUAACUACGUGCCAGCCGCCGCCGUAA